UACGAAGGGGGCUAGCGUUGCUCGGAAUCACUGGGCGUAAAGCGCACGUAGGCGGCUUCUAAGUCAGGGGUGAAAUCCUGGAGCUCAACUCCAGAACUGCCUUUGAUACUGGAGAGCUUGAGUCCGGAAGAGGUGAGUGGAACUCCGAGUGUAGAGGUGAAAUUCGUAGAUAUUACGGAAGAACACCAGUGGCGAAGGCGGGCUCACUGGUCCGGUACUGACGCUGAGGUGCGAAAGCGUGGGAGCAA
rnacentral:rRNA from 1 species